CCCGCGGCCCGGCCGAGGCAACGUGGCUGGGGUUCCCUCGCACUGCUCCACGCCGGGACCAUGGGGUGCGUAGCUGGGUCCAACCCGUGCCCUGCCCAACGGCUGGAGUUAGGGGCAGGGGUGCUAGUGCGGAUCGCAAAGCCCAGGGUGUCUGCUGCCCGUCCCCGUUCCGUAGUGGGGUCAGCGGCUCCGUGACACUGUGCCCCACGCUGCGAGCGGAGAGAGGGGUUGUAGAUCGCAGAGCCGGUGGUCGCCCGGGAUGCUGCCUCACUUGGGACAAGGCCAGUGGCUGUGGCGUAUGCCAGUGUGUGUGGGUCCGAGUGGGAACAUGCCGGGGAGAGCUGGUGCGGGGCUACAGCCGAGCACAGCGCUCGCCAUAGGGGACAUCAAGCCCAUCAGCAUGCAAAGGUGCUGCCGGGGAGCCAGGCGGGGGUGGCUGAGCUCGGUGCCCCCACACCACUCACUUCAUGUAACGGGGCCCGUGAGGCCGCGUCCCCCCAUGCCUGUGCUGUCGGUGAGGCAAUCAGCAGCACAGAGCACACCGGCUCCCAUCUGGCCGUAUGCAGGGUGCGCGUGUGAGCAGAGAUAACUGCCCAGCGGACCCUGCCGGGGACUGGCACCCUGCCUGCCUUGCCUCAUCUCGCCCCACAGCCCCUGCAGGACGUUUGUCUGCUCUGCCUGGGGACUGGCACCAUGGCUAAGCCUUGGCUGUCCUACCAUGGCAGCACGGGCUGGCUGCCUGACCCUGCCCACCCCAUGGAGCCCCUGGGACAGUGCUAUCCACCCAAGGGCUUCCACAGUGGAGGAUGCAAGGGGAUCAGGAUGUCACACCUCACAGGAGACAUUUUUAGGUGCUCUAUUCCAUGCUGGCAUGUCAAGGCAUGGAACGGAGACUCAGGGCGCUGUGCGGGCCUCCCGGGGUCUCUCUUGCCACCCUGUCUAGCUCACAGCAAGACCUCCGCUUGGCCCCCAUCCACCCGGUACCAGGAAUGGCCCUGCUACUGUUGCGUUUGUCAAGAAGCAAUGGCCCUUAUCUCCUGGAGCCUGUCUCCUUGCUUUCUGGGGCUUUCCAUCCCUAGAUACCUUUCUAAGAACUGGGGCUGCUGCCUGUGCUAUUCAGAAGCGAGGAGUCAGUUAAAAAAAAAACAAAUAUAAACAGCAGAGGUGAGGUGCGCACACAUGCACACGCCACUGCUGGAGCCAAAGCUACUCUACCAGUUGCUUUCAUCACCGCGCUUUAAUUAUAAGGGUGGAGCGUUGCAAUAAAUUAUUUCAGUAAUCCAGUGGAACAACAACGAUUCAAGUCUUCCCCCGUUUACCAAGAAUCUCUGCCCUGGUUUCCAGAGCACACGCUGGGUCACUGCCUGGGCCCCGCGUGCCUGGCUGCUGGUGGGGGAGCAUGUUUAUUAAUGCCAUCCAGCGGGUCAAAACACAUGGGCUGCACAGUACUUCCUUGGAAAAAGUCACCUCCAAAGUGGGAAUGAAGCACGAGGGCAUCACUCAAAAUCCCUUUUAUCCUGGCCCCAAGAGUAGUUUAUUGAAGUCACCGGUUAAUCCCAUUAUUUGUUUCUUGGCUAAAUAAUGGUUAAUCAGAAGGCAGUUCCUGCCCCAAACUUUUAUAGAUAAGUGAGAGCAGAUGCCACAGGAGACAAACACUAAUUCCACUUGGUUUUCCCCUUUUCCGGGCAGUUUGGUGUCUGUAUCCAUGCAGCACUGCCUUAUCUUAAGAGAGGCGUCGCCAGCAGAUCGGACCGCAGCCGCCUCGCAGGUGUAAAUCACACACUGCAGAGCAUUGCACAAAAUAGCUGCCCUGCUGCCAUCCACUGCCCCCGGGACAUGCACUGCACCAAGGCCACCUAUUCCAGAGUGGGACAUCAGCCCUGGAUCACAGCAUCCACACAUGGAUGCCAAGGUGCAAUUGCCCACGUGCAGCCCAUGGAAAUGCAUCCUCCCACCUGCAACACACACAGACACUUCUGGCAGCAGCCGCCUCGCAUCGGGAGCAAAUCCCUUUGUGCCAUCAUUACAUAAAGCUGCUUCAUUCUGCUCCA